GUAUUUAUUGACUGGAAACUGCACCGCAUUCGGCAAUUAAAUUCGUUUACAAUUCACGAAGAAACAACACGUCAUCCGUCCGUCAACGGUUGAAACUUCAAAACAUGAAAAUUUAUGUGGAAAAUUAUAAUGACGUCAGUUUAAUGCUGAAAUAUAAAAUGGGUGAGAAAGAAAUGAAAUGUUGCCAAUUGUUCGAACUCGAGACCGACGAGUGUUAAGACGGCAAUUGCUGACGUCAGUAGUUGCGGCGGGAGACGUUAUCGACUCUGUGGCAUCUAAUAUGUGUACCGGCGAGUUUUGCACGAGGAGCACACUACUAGGACAUACGUUCGCUCCACAAAGCUCGAUGGAGGGUCUGGAGAGCGGCACCAAGACUGCAGUGACCGUGCUGAGGUCUUGGGUACAGACACACGAAGAAGCGCAG